GACCCGAGUAUUGAAAGGCUUUGUGUAAAUAGCAUCGGCAGCCACAACAGUCAACUGGUGGUUGGCAACGGUAAAGAAAAGUUCUUGAUUGAGUGCAGAGUUGAUGAUCCUUAGGAGAAUUGUCUCCUUUGUAUCCACAGAUACAUUUGGUGCUCCUCCUGUGAAUUGUGCCUGCCUCAGGACAUCCAUGGGGUUUCUGUUCCACCAUUCCCCUGCAAUUUCCACAAUCACUUUAUGAGAUAGCUUUGCUAAGUUGAAAGAGUUUAGCAGUGGUAGAAUCAAUUAAGGAUAAAUAGUUUAAAACAAACAAAUGAUUGGUGUUCUAUCAUUACCAAGAAGAAUUGGAAAUUCUCUCUUGGGUGUAGGAAAUGGAUAUGGAGAACCCAAUUUAGGAUAAAUAAUGAGAGCUCCAUAAACAGUGGCUCUAAGCCAUCUGCUGUGAGCAUGCCACCACAAUGUCCCCUCUUGGUCUAUGAUUGUGAACCUGUAUGUGUAGGCUGCACCAGGUUGGAUGGCGCACUGAGUGACAGACUCAGGCCCAUCUGCCCAUGGAUUCUGCAGCUGUCGAAUGCCGUGCCUGAAGUAUAACAAGUUACAAUAGUCAGCAUCAACUAAAAUUUAAAAGCAACAUGAGGUGAUGUAGGAGCAGCACACAUGCAUGAGUUUCAUUAAGCUUAGUCUAGUUUGAGAAUGAAAGGCUUAACGAUUACCAGUGCAUGGUAACAUUGUAUUGUGCACCGUUUACAACUUUGAUCACCAGAGAAUCUCCAUUUCUGACUUCCAAUGUUGGUCCCGGGAACAUCCCAUUGACUGUGAUUCUAUUACGGGUCCUGCAUAGCCUCGUGAUCGGUGUUUGUUGAACCUAAACAGGAAAGAAAAAAAUUAUCUUAGAAUUAUAUUUCAUUGCAGAUAAAGGCUGAGUAAGAGGGUGAUGAGUUUGAAGACAUACAACAAAUUGAUGGUAGUGAGUUUCAGCAUCUGCAUAACAAGCUAGUAAAGCAAACAAAACAAAGAUGCCAAGUAAAAAGCAAGACGACCAAGGCUUGAGACUGAGUUUGAAAGCUUCCAUUGUUCUCAAAUUCCUUUGUAUAAUCAAGUAUGGUGCUAAUGAGUAUGUCUAGACCCAUAGAAGAGCUGAUACUUAUACUAUGAUAGAGCCUAAGGAGGGAAUACUUAAUUCAUUAUUUGAUUUCAAAGAAAUUAUAAUAAUAAUGUACUAGAAAUUAGGUUUUAAGUCAACAGUAACACUUGAGAUUUUAUGGCAUCUUAGUCCAACCAUAAAGGGGAUUUGGUGCACCCACUCAUGGCUUCUUCACUUGUUAAUUACAUGGAGAUUACUGGGUUUUGGUUUAUUUGAGUUGUAUCAGCUUUGAAAAUCUCCCAUAUACAUGUAAUUGUCAUCAACUAAAGUUGCAUAAUAUUUCAAGGCUCUUGUGGUCAAAAGCUUUAGAGACUUUAA